UCCCCACAGUGGGGAGCCUCCCCCCCCGCUCCUCAGCACCAUGCUGGAUAUCUUCAUCCUGAUGUUUUUUGCCAUCAUCGGCCUGGUGAUCCUCUCCUACAUCAUUUACAUGCUGUAGAGCAGCGCUGGGGACGAUGCGGCUCAGCCACCGGGGUGUUUGCCAGCCACCACCGCUGCCUGCUCCAUCUCCCACAGAAGCUUCUGGAAGAGCAUAACCCCGCUGCGAGGAAACGGAGAGCUGAAGGAGGGGAAUGGGGUGGUGGGAGCCAGGGGACAUCCUGCUGCUGAUGUUCCCGGUGCUGGACGCAGCAUCCCAGGGGAUGAGGACGGUCCUGCUCCCCCUCCCUGCGUGGCUUCCCUUGGGAUGAGCGCUUCCGAGGGUUUAGCUUUAGAAAAUCCCUUCUAUUUUCAAACGAGAGAUGUAAAAUGUAGAAGGAAAUGAAAUAAAGAGGAAUGAGACGAGGGAGAGAACGC